AGUGAACGCUGGCGGUAGGCCUAACACAUGCAAGUCGAACGGCAGCACAGUAAGAGCUUGCUCUUACGGGUGGCGAGUGGCGGACGGGUGAGGAAUACAUCGGAAUCUACUUUUUCGUGGGGGAUAACGUAGGGAAACUUACGCUAAUACCGCAUACGACCUACGGGUGAAAGCAGGGGAUCUUCGGACCUUGCGCGAUUGAAUGAGCCGAUGUCGGAUUAGCUAGUUGGCGGGGUAAAGGCCCACCAAGGCGACGAUCCGUAGCUGGUCUGAGAGGAUAAUCAGCCACACUGGAACUGAGACACGGUCCAGACUCCUACGGGAGGCAGCAGUGGGGAAUAUUGGACAAUGGGCGCAAGCCUGAUCCAGCCAUACCGCGUGGGUGAAGAAGGCCUUCGGGUUGUAAAGCCCCUUUGUUGGGAAAGAAAAGCAGCAGGUUAAUACCCCGCUGUUCUGACGGUACCCAAAGAAUAAGCACCGGCUAACUUCGUG
rnacentral:rRNA from 1 species